rnacentral:rRNA from 1 species
UUCCCGUACUUGGUGUUACUGCGAAGGGGGGACGGAGAAGGCUAUGUUGGCCGGGCGACGGUUGUCCCGGUUUAAGCGUGUAGGUGUGUGUUCCAGGUAAAUCCGGUUCACUUUAACACUGAGGCGUGACGACGAGGCACUACGGUGCUGAAGCAACAAAUGCCCUGCUUCCAGGAAAAGCCUCUAAGCAUCAGGUAACAUCAAAUCGUACCCCAAACCGACACAGGUGGUCAGGUAGAGAAUACCAAGGCGCUUGAGAGAACUCGGGUGAAGGAACUAGGCAAAAUGGUGCCGUAACUUCGGGAGAAGGCACGCUGACACGUAGGUGAAGUGAUUUACUCAUGGAGCUGAAGUCAGUCGAAGAUACCAGCUGGCUGCAACUGUUUAUUAAAAACACAGCACUGUGCAAACACGAAAGUGGACGUAUACGGUGUGACGCCUGCCCGGUGCCGGAAGGUUAAUUGAUGGGGUCAGCGCAAGCGAAGCUCCUGAUCGAAGCCCCGGUAAACGGCGGCCGUAACUAUAACGGUCCUAAGGUAGCGAAAUUCCUUGUCGGGUAAGUUCCGACCUGCACGAAUGGCGUAAUGAUGGCCAGGCUGUCUCCACCCGAGACUCAGUGAAAUUGAACUCGCUGUGAAGAUGCAGUGUACCCGCGGCAAGACGGAAAGACCCCGUGAACCUUUACUAUAGCUUGACACUGAACAUUGAGCCUUGAUGUGUAGGAUAGGUGGGAGGCUUUGAAGUGUGGACGCCAGUCUGCAUGGAGCCGACCUUGAAAUACCACCCUUUAAUGUUUGAUGUUCUAACGUGGACCCGUAAUCCGGGUUGCGGACAGUGUCUGGUGGGUAGUUUGACUGGGGCGGUCUCCUCCUAAAGAGUAACGGAGGAGCACGAAGGUUGGCUAAUCCUGGUCGGACAUCAGGAGGUUAGUGCAAUGGCAUAAGCCAGCUUGACUGCGAGCGUGACGGCGCGAGCAGGUGCGAAAGCAGGUCAUAGUGAUCCGGUGGUUCUGAAUGGAAGGGCCAUCGCUCAACGGAUAAAAGGUACUCCGGGGAUAACAGGCUGAUACCGCCCAAGAGUUCAUAUCGACGGCGGUGUUUGGCACCUCGAUGUCGGCUCAUCACAUCCUGGGGCUGAAGUAGGUCCCAAGGGUAUGGCUGUUCGCCAUUUAAAGUGGUACGCGAGCUGGGUUUAGAACGUCGUGAGACAGUUCGGUCCCUAUCUGCCGUGGGCGCUGGAGAACUGAGGGGGGCUGCUCCUAGUACGAGAGGACCGGAGUGGACGCAUCACUGGUGUUCGGGUUGUCAUGCCAAUGGCACUGCCCGGUAGCUAAAUGCGGAAGAGAUAAGUGCUGAAAGCAUCUAAGCACGAAACUUGCCCCGAGAUGAGUUCUCCCUGAGACUUAGAGUCUCCUGAAGGAACGUUGAAGACGACGACGUUGAUAGGCCGGGUGUGUAAGCGCAGCGAUGCGUUGAGCUAACCGGUACUAAUGAACCGUGAGGCUUAACCUUACA